UGGGGAAUCUUGCACAAUGGAGGAAACUCUGAUGCAGCGAUGCCGCGUGAGUGAAGAAGGCCCUUGGGUUGUAAAGCUCUUUCGUCGGGGAAGAAAAUGACUGUACCCGAAUAAGAAGGUCCGGCUAACUUCGUGCCAGCAGCCGCGGUAAUACGAAGGGACCUAGCGUAGUUCGGAAUUACUGGGCUUAAAGAGUUCGUAGGUGGUUGAAAAAGUUGGUGGUGAAAUCCCAGAGCUUAACUCUGGAACUGCCAUCAAAACUUUUCAGCUAGAGUAUGAUAGAGGAAAGCAGAAUUUCUAGUGUAGAGGUGAAAUUCGUAGAUAUUAGAAAGAAUACCAAUUGCGAAGGCAGCUUUCUGGAUCAUUACUGACACUGAGGAACGAAAGCAUGGGUAGCGAAGAGG
rnacentral:rRNA from 2 species